UUACGGCCAUAUCACGUUUAAACACACGUUUUCGUACGAUCACCGAAGUUAAGCAGCGUCGAGCCCGGGCAGUGGUUAGAUGGGUGACCGCAUGGGAAAACUGGGUAUUGUAA